CUUUGAGUUCAUAAGCCCAUGUAUUGUUUGAAUCAAGUUGUCAACAUACUAAACAACAGAAACACUAAACAGAUCACUCAUCAAAACAAUGUUUUUCUUUUCAUUAAACAGAUUUAGUUUUAAAUAGUCAUACUACAAAUACUACCACAGCCAUUUCACCAAGUUGUAUUCUUAGUUCAUUAUUUCUGUUCACAAAGAUGAACACAAACUGGGAGAUCUACAGGGAAUGGUAACAACAAAGAUUGUGAUUGCACUGGCUAACACAACAAGUCCAGGUGAAAACACUCAUGCAGUUUCAAAUGUUCAAUGUGUUUUUUUUUAAUACAAAGAAUGAAACUCAAUUCACUUUUGGUUAGCUCAUUUCAGACCACCCCAAAAUGAAAUGUUCUUAGAAAGUCACCCUGUAGUACGAUGCUGAAAAGUUUGAGAACCAUUUAUAUGACUGAACGUAUGAUAAUGAGGCUUAAAAUAAACAAUAUUACAUAAACAAUACCUUGUCCCCAUCUAACCUUCCAACAAAAUUCUGACAGUUUCACAUAAUGGAGAACAAAAAAACAAUUUUAAAAAAAAAGCACAUUUCAUAAUACACUCAAAAUAAAUGGUUCUGGACAUCCAAAUCUUCAGUGUUUUGAUUCUUUGAGUAUUUCUAGAGCUCAAAAAAAAUGUCACAACUACACAGGCUCUGUUGUAUACAAGGAAUAAAUGCUCACGACAAGUAAAAUGCUGAAAUUGCUAGACUACAAUUCAAUGGCUCAAUACAAGCACAGGAAGUUCCCAGAGUAUCUGCCCUACAGAGUUUUGGUUAUUCUCACAGAUUGAGUUGCAAACAAUCAUCACAGUGUAACAUGAGGUCAACCCACCCCAUGGCUCUAAUAACAAAUAAUACACUAGUUUAACUCCUUCAACCAGCAUGCAGAAGUUUAUUAUACAGAUAACACAACAGUUUUAGAAUAACUUAGACAUACACAUUGUAAAUACAAUUUGCUGUGUAAUACCUUGAUAUAAAAUAUAAAGAGUUUAAUAAAUAAGUUUUAAGGGAAGAAACAUUUAAGGAGGAUGGCUUUAUAUAUAUAUAUACAUAAUAACAGAACAUUUUCACAAAUUCAUUUCUCAGAAAGCUAAAUUCAAUUUUUUUUUUUUUUUU